rnacentral:sRNA from 1 species
GCAAUGCGACAGUGGAAGGCCAUUGGACAUCAGGCUUCAUGGACAAAACACAAACAAGAGCCCACUCAGCCACCCCUGAUACUUCUGGCUAUGGUAUUCUGCCUUAGCGAAGUAGGAAUGGCGCCCGGCAGGCUUGUAUAUUGAUGAGGUUUCUCAUUUGGCUGCAGGCUUUCGACGACUAGAUCAGGGGUUGCGAAAAGAAGUCAACGCCAGCGAGCUCCAGUUGCUUUCCAUCCCACUGCUUGGAAUCCAUGUUCCUAAAAACGUGUCUCCACCAUUACAUGGAAGCGCAGGUUCAGUCGAUAAGGUUGAUUCAAAUGUACAGUAUAAUAAUACGAC